UUUCGUGUGACUGGCCGGCGAAGCUGUCUGUGGGAAUGACCUGGCUAUUGCUCGGUGCAGUCCUAAUUAAAGUGUCUUUUACUCCGUGUUCCCAGGCUCCCUCUUUCCCUUCGGUCGCCGUGGAUGUGCCGGACGCCUCUGGCAGGACUGAGCCUGUGGCUUUUAUGUCCAGCGUGCCUGCAGUUUGGCAGGGCUGGGACAAGGAGGACUCGUGCGGGCGCCUCCAGAGACAGCGGGAACGGGAGCGUGCUGCAGAGAAGGAAAGUUCCAGGUGAAUUGCCACGAGAGGAAAUACUUCCGAGGG